AGUGAACGCUGGCGGCGUGCUUAACACAUGCAAGUCGAACGAGAACGGAUUAUAGCUUGCUAUAAUUGUCAGCUAAGUGGCGCACGGGUGAGUAAUGUAUAGAUAACCUGCCCUCUAGAAAGGAAUAACAGUUGGAAACGACUGCUAAUGCCCUAUAUGCCUUUAAUACAUAAGUAUGCAAGGGAAACGCUUUAGUGCUAGAGGAUGGGUCUGUAUGGUAUCAGCUAGUUGGUGAGGUAAUGGCUCACCAAGGCUAUGACGCCUAACUGGUUUGAGAGGAUGAUCAGUCACACUGGAACUGAGACACGGUCCAGACCCCUACGGGAGGCAGCAGUGGGGAAUAUUGCACAAUGGACGAAAGUCUGAUGCAGCAACGCCGCGUGGAGGAUGACACAUUUCGGUGCGUAAACUCCUUUUAUAUAGGAAGAUAAUGACGGUACUAUAUGAAUAAGCACCGGCUAACUCCGUGCCAGCCGCCGCAGUAA
rnacentral:rRNA from 1 species